rnacentral:misc_RNA from 1 species
AAGUCGUAACAAGGUUUCCGUAGGUGAACCUGCGGAAGGAUCAUUACAGAGUUAGGGUUGCCCUCGCGGUGCCCGAUCUCCCAACCCUUUGCCUUGAAAAAUGAUAGCGUGCGGCGCACCGUCAAAAGUGCGCUCGCCGCGUCUACCCAUGUACGUUGCUUCGGCGGCUCACCCCGCCGGAGGGAUCGUAAACCAAAACUCUUGUAACCUUUGUUAGUCUGAGAAAUACUAUAAUAAGUUUAAAACUUUCAACAACGGAUCUCUUGGUUCUG